UACGAAGGGGGGCUAGCGUUGUUCGGAUUUACUGGGCGUAAAGCGCACGUAGGCGGAUUGUUAAGUCGGGGGGUGAAAUCCUGGAGCUCAACUCCAGAAUUGCCUUCGAUACUGGCUUUCUAGAGGCUGGAAGAGGUUAGUGGAAUUCCCAGUGUAGAGGUGAAAUUCGUAGAUAUUGGGAAGAACACCAGUGGCGAAGGCGGCUAACUGGUCCAGAUCUGACGCUGAGGUGCGAAAGCGUGGGGAGCGAACAGG
rnacentral:rRNA from 1 species